CCCCAGAUGUGUGAUGAUGAGUUCAGCAGGAGACAGUCAGCUCUCCUCCAGAUGCUCUCAGGCUGAUGAUCCUGCUCCCUCACAGAUGUCUGAGGAGGUGAAAGUAGAGACGUCAGGUGGCGGGACCUCAGGCUCAGUGGGACACGCCUCCCUGGUGGAGCAGUAGAGUAGUGCCGUCCAAAUGAAGCUUACACCUCAAGACUGUGUGAAGAAAGAAGAAACGCCAGAGCUGAACAUCUGCACCAGUGAAAACGACCUGAACGAUGUUCCUGAUGGUUCCUCCAUUAAAGAGGAAGAAACUGAAGAUAACGACUACCUCUUCGUGGCCAAUUCCUCCCCUUCACUAGGGGGCUCCCACAUUAAGGCUACUACUACCACUCAGCCGGGAGGGCAGAAGACCAUCACGUGUUUCUUCCAAACCACGUGACGCCAGCCGACCGCAUCUUAUCGAACUGCUUGUUCACACACCGUUGGGCGCGGAGUAACACACUCGGAGGACAGCGCUACCUGCUCAUUCUGCUUGUGUGAGCUCACAGACGCCCUGAUUGGCUGUAGAGCCGUGAUUAAUGUGGGAUCACGAAGUACCUCUCAUUCCUCCCCUCUGAAAGAGCUCGGCCAAUCAGCUCCCUCUAGACCUCCGGCUGCGAGAGAAAGGUGUUGGAAGAUCAUCACACAGUCAAAGCAGGAAAUUAUUCCCUGGAUUACUUCGACGUUAUUGGUGUUAAAGGUGGAUCUACAAUAUUGAAUCUAUAUUUAUUCUUUUUUGUGAAGAUAUCCAAGAGCAAGCAGCACAAGGAAUACCUAGAUGCUGAGAGGGACAAGUUUGCUAACUGAGGUAUGUGAGUUGAGCUCAUGCUGAUGGCGAGCAGAACCUUGUGGCCUUCCAAUAUCGAUGCUGUCAAGCCAUUAAUCCAGGACAGGAGCUUUUGAUGCGGUUUGAAGUAGAUCAUGCCAAAGGUCUCGGUCCUACAUUUGUGUGGCACUUUUUGCUCCAUAGGAAACGACUACAUAUAGGAAUUUUUUAAAUAAUUAUUUGGUCUUGAAAUUCUUUGUUGUGGAUGAGAUCAAGGAAACUUUUUGUACAUCUUACAAUUUCGUGACUGAUCUACACUUCCUGGCCAAAAAGGUCUACCACACACACGUGGGCACACGCACAAACACUGUAGCACGGCCACAUAACGGACUUAUUUUAUAAAGGCGUUGAUCAAGCUGAUUACUGAUAAAGCAGCUGCGCCUUGUAAUGCAGCCCAUUGUGUUUUAAUUGUCUCAAAUGUGGUGUGUUAAUUCUGGGUUAAACUCUUGCGAGACUGCACCUCCAAAUCGCGAGGGGAAUCCUAAUGAUGCAGCGGGGUCAGCUGUCUCGUUUAAAGCGCAGGUGGGAGGGCAACAUGAAGGAAUGCUAGAGGGUGGUAUAUUUUGUUGGACUGUCUUUUGCUUUUUGCAUUUAUUUCUGUUCAAGAUCUUGUAUUGGUGAUGGGAAAGUCAGACCGCUGUGUAAAGUCUUCUCCAGCACAUUCCUAGAUUCUCUAUUGGGGAGUUCUGAACUCUAUGGUGGAAAAUUAUGUCUCUUGCUCUCCAAAACUGCUCUUUGACAAUUUAAACCUGAUGGAUUAUGGUAUUGUCAACUUUGGCAUAUGGCUGUGCCAUCAGGGAAGAAAAACUCCAACGACUGUGAUAACCUGGUCAUUCAGUACAUUUCAGAUCGUUAGCUGACUCAGGCUAGGCCUGUGAACCUAGGCCUGUUCACCAAGUGAAACUGUUUUUCAGGUUCCUAAGCAACCCAUGCUCAGAACAUGAUCCUGCCCUGGUGUGCCCUGAAACCACCGGUGAAUUUUGCUCCGUCUUGUUAUGCAGUGCUCAGUUAACUGCCGCGUCUGUUUCUGAGUAACAAGUUCAACAAUUUACAUAUGCAAUACUGUCGUUUAUUGCAUUAUCUAUUUAUUUUUUUUUGCAUUAAAUAAAGUUUGUCUGAUUAGACACUUGUGUUCUCAGGCUCUGUGACUUCCACAUGCUUCCAAAAUACAGUCCAACCUUGGAUUGUGAGUAACUCAGCCUGUGAGCAUUUUGCUAGACGAACAAAGUUUUUAAGUAAAAUUUUAACUUAAUAAACAAGCGAGGCCUUUAUAUACGAGUAGUACGCAUUCGCUAUGUCUGCUGAGCAUUACAUGAUCACAACUGAGUCAAAGGUUCUUCUCUUUCGCGUGCUGGGAUUUUGGUUAAUCAUCUCCCAUGCUCAGUCUCAGUGUGCGCAUGUCACUCGUAUAGUCAACAUCCGUGUGUGCGUGUACUGUUUACUAUACCACUGUCCUGUGUGUGUUACGAAUUAUGCUUGCAAUCCCACUGAAUAUUUUACACCGAUUAAAAUUGGUAAAAAACAUUUCAGUGCCAGCGUCAACAAUAAACAUUUACUUUGCUAUGUGUUACAGAAUUAUAUAACUAAAUUACCUUUGGUCUACCAUAAUGUCGAACUUAUGAGAAGGUAUGACUUUAUAAAGGUUUUUUUUUUUUUUUGCAUAUAAGGCAUUACAUAAUUCUGCUCCAGACUACUGUAUAUAUGCAAUCUUAUCACACCCUAUUCAGCUUCUAGGUCUUUAAGAUCUAAUGAUCAGUUACUAUUAUCUGUCCCCCGUUCACGUUGUAAAACGAAGGGUGAUCAGGCUUUUUCAGUAGUUUCCCCAACAGUUUACCAUUGUACAUCAGAGCUGCUACAUCAUUGGACAUUUUUAAAUCAAGCUUAAAGACAUAUUUUACUCAUUAGCAUUUGGGUGGUGAUGUGCAUGUAUUUUGCAUAAUUAAUUUGUGUUAAAUUGUUGUGUUAUAAAUUUUCUUUUUAUUUCUUUUAUAUUUUUUGUUUUAUCUUUUGCUGUUUAUUUU